rnacentral:lncRNA from 1 species
CAGCUCUCUAGGGCCUGGUACCUAUGAGAUUCUCAUGAAAAUGUGUGCAAAGUGUCUCUCGAAGUGAUGGCCUUCCAAAACAGUCACGUUGUAGUAAGUGGUCUGGUCUGCCAGACUGGUUUCGGGAUCAUUCUCUUUCUGGAAAUAAUUUGAGAUCAAUCUUAGGCCUGUUGCUAGCUCCCUUCUUUUCCAUUACGUGGUUUUUCUCCUCAGAGGCUUCUGGUGAGAGCAUCAUUGCUCACUGGGAUUUAGUGUUAAUUUUUCUACUUACGUGACACUUGAACUUGGACAUUUUCCAUCUUCUAGAUUUUUCGAGGGUUUUGUGAAGUUAAAGCUGUUCUUCAUGUCGUUCUGGAUUACUUUUUUGAAGAUGUGUUGGGAGAUCUGAAUUUAUAAAGCAGCCAUUAUCUUGACGACAUAACUCUCUUGUUUUGAGGAAGACGAAGCCAAACCCUAGAAGGAUGGGAGAUGCUCAGGCCUCCUCCAGAGCAAGCGGCCGCGGCAGCUCCUGCCAAGUUCAAGGCCGCCCCCCGCCCCGCGCGCACACGCGCCCCGGGCCGGGCGGGGGAAAGCGGUGCAAACGCUUCUGCGGUGGCUGCUCCUCGCGCGCGUGUGUCAACUUCCUGCUCCGCGGCCCGGGCGAGGAUGCUGGGGUUGCAUCCCCGCUUUCGGAGCUCUUCUGCGGCUUUGGGGAACCCGGCGCCGCGCGCCUGCCCUGGUCCCGCCCUGUGCCCCACUCCCGCGUCUCACACCCCCCUCCGCAGCUGGGGCCGGAGGGUCCCGGGGGAGAAAUAAGACGGAGGAAACCACGAAAUCAGGUCCAAGGGGAAAAAAGAGAGACAAAGGGAUGGAUUUCCCCCCUUCAGUUCUUGGAAACAACUUCCAGAGGCUCCAGGGAAGGGGAAUUUGAUAACCAUAUGAGAGAAUGGAGGAUCUGA